rnacentral:rRNA from 1 species
GAUGAACGCUGGCGGCGUGCCUAAUACAUGCAAGUCGAGCGAAUGGAUUAAGAGCUUGCUCUUAUGAAGUUAGCGGCGGACGGGUGAGUAACACGUGGGUAACCUGCCCAUAAGACUGGGAUAACUCCGGGAAACCGGGGCUAAUACCGGAUAACAUUUUGAACCGCAUGGUUCGAAAUUGAAAGGCGGCUUCGGCUGUCACUUAUGGAUGGACCCGCGUCGCAUUAGCUAGUUGGUGAGGUAACGGCUCACCAAGGCAACGGUGCGUAGCCACCCGGGGAGGGUGACGGGCCGCACUGGGACUGAGACCCGACCCAGACUCCUACGGGAGGCAGCAGUAGGGAACCUUCCGCAAGGGACGAAAGUCUGACGGAGCAACGCCGCGUGAGUGAUGAAGGCUUUCGGGUCGUAAAACUCUGUUGUUAGGGAAGAACAAGUGCUAGUUGAAUAAGCUGGCACCUUGACGGUACCUAACCAGAAAGCCACGGCUAACUACGUGCCAGCCGCCGCCGUAA